rnacentral:lncRNA from 1 species
AUGAGGCGGGUAACAGCGUGUGAACUUAGGAGCGGGAAGUUACCCCAGCGGUUGAGAACUGACGAGCUGUGGGUGGGUUGUGCGAACUACGUCCCGGUGUGUGGCUAGAGGUUUGGCGUCUGUGGUUUAAUUGUAGCCGUGUGACGGUGGUGUCUCUCUGGCUCUGGCGUCACCUUCGCCUGCACUGCGCAGGGCGAAGGCUCGUGGGCUCGUGUUGGAGGCGUUGGGCAGCUGGUCAUGCGGGCGCUGAGCUGAGGAGGAGCUGCGUUGGGGGUCUGUUUGCCGUGGUGCUUUAUAAGUGUGUGCUCAGGGGAGCUUGGGGUCCAGGUUUCGUAGACGGGCGGUUGGCUUGCCCUGCUGGGUGGUGAGCGUUGGGUGUCGGGCAGGGGGCCGCCCAUGCAGGAGGCGGUGGCUCCCUAGUCCCGCAACACCGGCCCUGGCCCGGUGUUGCGGUGUUGCUCUCUCUCACACGACCUAUCGUGCGUAGCUUUGUGAAAGCAUCGGAGUGAUCAACCGACUGCUGCCUCAGACUCAACACCUGGGGCCGGGCUGCGGAGCGCGUUCACGCAACCAAACUCAACCACGGGGCAUCAGUUACCAGCCGCUCGCACGCAGCCGCUGUAGCUAGCUCAAUUAAGGCCCGCUCGGCUUAGUCCACCGAGCGCCCAGCCAGCUGGGAAAGACCGCCCUCGCCCCCGGAGUCGCCAUCGACAGCUGACGAGCAGUCGACCGUCCGCCCUCUGGCCCUAGCGAGUGGCCGUCGCCAAAGCGCCUUCAGCAACACCGCAACCUGCCUCUUGGAAUGCCAACGCCUACUCGGCUCUUUCGGCUACUACCGAGGGUAUGUCGACCACUACUCGGUCAAGAUGGCGCCCAUCACGGCGCUCACGGCCAAGGCAGUGGAAUGGGGCCCGGACACGUGGACCGCAGAGCAGCAGCGCGCCCUGGACGCCAUCAAGCACGAGUUUGCAGAAGGCGACCUGGUGCUGCGGCCGCUGGACCCCCAGCGUGAGCUCAUCCUGCACACGGACUGGUGUGAGGUGGGCAUCAGCGGCGUGCUGGGGCAGCUGGAUGACGACGCGCUGGAGUACAUGGUGGCCUGUGUCAGCCGCACCUGCAACGUGCAUGAGCGGCGCUACGGCAGCUACAAGGGCGAGUUGCUUGCGGCGGUGUGGGCUGUCCAGACGCUGCGGCCGUACCUGCACGGCCGCCGCUUCACUCUCGUCACCGACCACGGGCCGUUGGAGUGGCUGAUGACCCAGCGCGACCUCACUGGCCAGGCCGCGCGGUGGGCGCUGAUCCUGCAGCAGUACGUGUUCAGCGUUGUGCACCGGCCCGGCAAGCUGCAUCAGAACGCCGACGCUCUCAGCCGCUGCCCGCUGCCGACGGACGUUGAUGCGGCUGGCGCGCGGCUGGACCAAGCGGAUGAGCCACCACCGCCGCCGCCACCCGUGGUGUUGUACCCCGGCCGCCGCCUGCCCGCCUACGCCCAGCCCCCCACCGCCACCACCCUCACCACCAUCGCGGAGGCCGCUUUUCCGUCCGCCGACGGCUGGCUGCCGCGGCUUGCCGCGCACUUGGCCAGCUCCACGGGCGCUGCCUGGCCCUCCACCACCGUGGCCGGUGCCCGUGCCUCAGCCGUCUGCCUCGCCACGCUGCAUGCCAGCCGCGCCGCCGGGCCGGGCGCCUGCGUGGUGGACGGCUCGGACCUCCUGGCAGGCCACAACGGCACCACCAGCGAUCUCAGGGAGAUGGCGCCGGCGGCGGACACAGCGGUGCGCACAGCGGUGGCGCUGGUCAACCGGCAUGGGGCUAGCCUGCGGCAGCUGCGGCUGACGCCGCGGCUGCGGCUUCGGCUCUGCACUGCGCGGGGCAGCGUCGUAGGGCUCGACACCAGCCUGCAGCAGCACUCUUUCUUCGACGCAGCGCAGGGCGACGGCGUUGCAGUGCUGGAAGCACCCGGCGGCCUGGCUGCCGGGCUGCAGGCCUGCCUACGAUUGGGCAUCAAGGUGCGGCGCUACGUGUCCAUGGAGCCUCAGCCCGCAGUGCUGGGAGCCGUCGAGAAGCUGGUGCGGGCACUGGCCGCCGCCAACCCGCUGUGCCUGCCGCUUGCGGCCUGGCGGCAGGCCGGGGCGCCCCGGCAAACCGCACUGAGCGGCCUGCCGCUGCGCGACGGCGGGCAAUGGCUGGUCUUCGCCAGCUGGGGUAGCACCAACGGCUGGAGCGACGCUGACGCCCUCAGCUUCGUGGGUGGCCUCCAGCUGGCGCUCCGCAAGCAGCACUGCGCACCGCCGGCCUACCUCCUCCACGGCCCCACCACCACCCGCGCCGAGCAGGAGCAGCUGGGUUUCCCCUUUGGCCUGCCUGCGACGAUGGACACAGUGCAAGCGGGCGUCGCCGCUCACAGGCUGGUGACGCUGUACACCAACCUUGCGGCGGCUGAGCACCUCGCGGCUGUGCUGGAGCGGCUGCCGCCUGAGCCCGACCGCACCCUGGCGCAACAGCUGGAACCGGGCCGCCGCCCCAUGGUUGCGCUGCGGGUGGAGCCCCUACCCUACCGCCCAGCCCACGUCCCUGGCCAGCGACUGGUGGCCCUCCCGGCCGGGUCCGACGCGCCGCCAUUGCGCACAGUACCCGGCGACGAGCCCUGCCAUCUGUCAGUCACGGACUGGGAAGCGGUCCUCGGCCACCGGCCCGGCACUGCCGACACGCUACCGCCUGACCUGGCCAUCCCAGCCCUGCGCAACCCCAUCUCGCCCCGCACCGCCGCCACCGCCCUCGCCGCCUGCCUCGCCCUCCAGCGCAGCUACCUCACGCCCCACGACACGCAUGCCCCGCCGCCUCUGCGUGUGGCCCCGGCACCGUCGCCGCUGGGGGGGGGUGAGCCCGCGGGAGAGGAUGACCAAGCAACGGUCAUUGCGCGCGGGCUGCUACAGCGGCAGCCGGCGCCGGACCUUGCCUUCACCUUCUCCACGCUGGCCGCAGUUGCAGCAGACGCACAGGAGCAGGCGACUGCUACGGCAGAGAAUCAGAGCUGGACGGACGUGUGGGAGGAUGCAGAGGUCUUGGCGGCGCUGCGGGCCGGCGGGGCAGCAGCUGGGGGGGCAGCGCCACGACGGGUGACACGGCGUAUGGCGGACUACCGCUGGGUCAACGGGCAGCUGCUGCGCAACAUGUCGGACGGCCUCACCAGGGUGUGCCCGCCGCCGGACCAGAGGGUGGCGCUAACGCAGGCGGUGCAUCAGCGCACGGGCCACCUGGGCGUCAGGCGGACGCUGGCACUGCUGCAGACUGGGCACUGGUGGUACGGCAUGAAGAACACCGUGCGGCAGGUGCUCCGGGCCUGCCGCGCCUGCGACAUGAGCAACGCUCGCGGUGAGGCGCUGCCAUCCAGGCUCAGCCCGCUGCCGGUCAUGGGGCUCUUCUAUCGCCUCGGCGUGGACCUGGCCGGCCCUCUGCCGCCAUCGGAGCCGGACGGCAACCGCUACGUCAUGGUCGUGAUCGAGCACUUCUCAAAGCACGUGGAGCUGCUGCCGCUGCGCGACAAGACGGCGGCACGCACAGCCCGGGCGCUGGCAGACGUGUUCGCGCGGUUUGGCGCGCCGGCUGAGGUGCUGACGGACAACGGCAGCGAGUUUGAGGGCGAGUUCGCAGAGCUACUGGAGCGCAGCUACGUGGACCACCGCCGCACCUCGCCCGGCCAUCCCCAAGCAGAUGGUGCGGCGGAGCGCGUGGUCCAGGUGCUGAAGCAGGCGCUGCGGAAGACCUGCUACCUGACCGCCGACGCCAGCGCGUGGGAGCAGGCACUGCCAGAGCUGCUUCUGGGCUACCGCUGCUCGCCCCAGGCCUCCACCCGCUACUCGCCCUAUGAGCUCCUGUUCGGAGGUGUCGCCCCAGUCAUCCCACCUGCGGUGCGUGAGCGGAUCUCAGUGCCGUUGGACUUUGAGGACCCCGAGGCGGCGACGGCGUCUCUGCUGGCACGUAUGGAGUGGGUGCGGCAAGCCUACCCUGCCGCCGCCAGCAACCUGCUCAUCGCGCAGCACCGCGACACCCUGCGCUACUCCGCCAUCCGCACGGGACGCUACCUGGCGAAGCCAAUCACAUACGCACCCGGCGACUACGUCUACGUGCGGCGGGUGGACGCCGCGCAGCGCCCCACCCUGCAUUUUGGCCAGCACGACACCAUCCUGCGCGUGGAGUGCAUUGGGCCCCUGGGCGUGGCCGUCCUGGUCGGCCGCGACGGUGCCCGCGUGCGGCGCCGUGCUGAACACCUGCGCCCAUGCCACCUGGACAUCGACCCCGCCAUCGACCCGCAGCUGUUCCGCCCCCAGCGCGACCUGCAGUGCGAGGUCUGCGGCUCCCCGCACCAGGAGGCUAAGAUGGUGCUGUGCGACGGCUGCAACACCGGCUGGCACACCCACUGCCUGCGGCUGCCGCGUGUGCCCCGUGGCCAGUGGCUGUGCCCGCGCUGCAAGGAGCUGGACGCCGAAGAGGAGGUGCUGCGGGCAGGCUGGGCGGCUGAGGAGACUGGCGACGCUGCCGCCCCGGCGGCGGCGGCCGCUGGGCUGGCAGGCACGGCGGCUGGAGAGGCUGGCGCCGCGGCCGCAGCGCCCCAAUGCGGGGCCGCCGGCCGCCGCGAGCGGCGCGGUGUGCCGGCCGCGGCGGCUGAGAGCGAGGAGCUGGGCCGCCUGCUGUUCCCCCGAGCCCGCACCCGGCGGCUUGACGAGGCCGCCUCCGAUCUGGGGGGGCGGCGCGUGCGCAGGGCUGAGGAGGGACCGGACGGAGUGCUGGAGUACCUGGGCGCGCUGGCGCGGCCGCGGUACUUCCGCGUGCAGUGGAGUGACGGCGAGGAGCAGCAGCUGACGCUGGCGGAGGCGCGUCGGUUGCUCGCAGACUAGGUUGGCGGGGAGUGAGGAGGGUCGGGCAGGGGGCUAUUCAGAGGUUCACGAGGGAGAGGGCUAGGGGGGCGAGCGCUGGGGGGGCAGUGGGCUUUGUGCAGCGGCUCGCAGCCUGUCUCCACCACGGCUUGAUCAGGCCUUGAGCGUCAGCCUGCCGCACCUACGCCAGAGGCGAUUCGGCGGACUGGGCUAUGGGAGGCAGUGAGCGGAGCCAGGAGCCGCCAUGGCCAUGCAUUGCCCCCGGCGGAAGGGCCGGGACAGCCGGCGCCUUGAGGAGCGUCAGCAUUUAGUAGGAGUAGCGAACGUACGGCUGUGGGGGCAGGUGGGGUUAGGCAGAGCAUGUUAGUGCAGGAGUAGGUAGGGUGCAGGCCCAAACCGCGGGACCAUAUGCGUGCGAAGUUAUGUGUGAGGCCCAAACUACGGGACCUGAUGCGUGCCGUUGGUUGGCUGCGUGCGUGUGCUCGUGCCCUUGCUGUGCGUGCUGCCACCGGUCACUAGUACAACCAUGCCGUCGUUAGGACCCCGGACAUGUUUGUGGGGGGGACUUCAGCCCCCGGUGGCAGCCCUAGAGCAAAACAUGGCUGGGGCGUGACAGCUGUCGUGCGCCGUUGCCGGCGUGUGUCAUUCACCGGCAACCAGUGCCUGAGUAUGAGUCAUGAGGCGGGUAACAGCGUGUGAACUUAGGAGCGGGAAGUUACCCCAGCGGUUGAGAACUGACGAGCUGUGGGUGGGUUGUGCGAACUACGUCCCGGUGUGUGGCUAGAGGUUUGGCGUCUGUGGUUUAAUUGUAGCCGUGUGACGGUGGUGUCUCUCUGGCUCUGGCGUCACCUUCGCCUGCACUGCGCAGGGCGAAGGCUCGUGGGCUCGUGUUGGAGGCGUUGGGCAGCUGGUCAUGCGGGCGCUGAGCUGAGGAGGAGCUGCGUUGGGGGUCUGUUUGCCGUGGUGCUUUAUAAGUGUGUGCUCAGGGGAGCUUGGGGUCCAGGUUUCGUAGACGGGCGGUUGGCUUGCCCUGCUGGGUGGUGAGCGUUGGGUGUCGGGCAGGGGGCCGCCCAUGCAGGAGGCGGUGGCUCCCUAGUCCCGCAACACCGGCCCUGGCCCGGUGUUGCGGUGUUGCUCUCUCUCACACGACCUAUCGUGCGUAGCUUUGUGAAAGCAUCGGAGUGAUCAACCGACUGCUGCCUCAGACUCAACACCUGGGGCCGGGCUGCGGAGCGCGUUCACGCAACCAAACUCAACCACGGGGCAUCAGUUACCAGCCGCUCGCACGCAGCCGCUGUAGCUAGCUCAAUUAAGGCCCGCUCGGCUUAGUCCACCGAGCGCCCAGCCAGCUGGGAAAGACCGCCCUCGCCCCCGGAGUCGCCAUCGACAGCUGACGAGCAGUCGACCGUCCGCCCUCUGGCCCUAGCGAGUGGCCGUCGCCAAAGCGCCUUCAGCAGCCCUAGAGCAAAACAUGGCUGGGGCGUGACACACAAGUGCCUACAUGCAAAUACGGAGGCCUGGAAGGUAGCCCAGCACAAGGAGGAGGAGGCGGCAGCCAAGCGAGAGCGGCAGGCGGCGGGCGUGGCACUACUGAGGAGUGGCCGGCCAGGAAGCGGUAGAAGGUCGAGUGAAGGACGGAGGUGAGGAAUGGAAGGCAAGGAAACGUUGGAGGCUGUGGAGGCUGAGGCUAUGAUCAGCUCGGCUGCUGCUCCACCUGGACCAACGGGCGUGUCACCGAGUGCGACCCGGUCGCCCCCUUGCAAGCUGCAUCGGCAUUAAUAAAUACAU